UAACAAAGAACAGCAGACCUCUUGAGUCGCGACUGAGUAGGAGAGACAAGGAGCAACGCAAUGACUGAGGAAGACACCGAAACAUUGACUGAGAAGGCGGAGUCAGAGCGCGACAGUGGCUCGGAGAGACAGAGUGACAGGGGAAAGUAUUACCUCGUUCGAGCUUGACGGAGAAGGAGGAAAGGACGGCGGUCGGCGGAAGUGCAGGGUCGUUGGGUCAGAGCAGAGUGACGCAAAUCAGGCGAAGGACUCGGGAAUGAAAGGGAUCGGUCGGCGUUCGUGAAGUAGGGCAUCUAGGGGAAAAAAAAAACGCCGAAACCAGCUGCGUUUCAUGUCCUACCCGCGUCGACCCGUGCCCGCCGGCAGCCGCCUGUGUCCUCCCGUUUGGCAAAAAAAAAAAAAAAGGGACACGCCGCAUCAGCGUACAGGACGAGUAUCCGUGUCGGAUACGCAUUAUCCGACACGGACACGGCGCUGAUUUUGGCGUGUCCGUGCUUCAGAAAUUCAGUUGAGGAAAUUGGAGGUAACUAUUGUGAUCCAAUUAUAAUGAUGUAUAGGUAACUGUUGUGAAAAAUGAAGAAGGUGGGGAUUCGGUUUCCUCUGUUGUGUUAUGAUGAAGUACUGAUGGUAUACUGGAUGACCUUGAAAGAGCAGUUGAUGAUGGUGUGAAUACUUGUAAGGACUUGUGCUGGGACAGUCGUAAUAUACCUAGACAGCUACUGAAAUUGAGUUUGCUAGAAAAGUGAAAGAAUUCCCCUUCAAGAAGACAAGUCAAAGGCUUGAUGAUUUCAUCAGGAAACUGAUGCAAAUGUAACAGCAGCCUUUCUGGUUCCAGUUUUGACUCCCUUGCCUUGCCACCAAGGGUGGGCGUGGUCCUCAACGAUAUACAGGCGAUAAUAGUGCAUUUCAGGCUGAAGUAAGUGCGCGUGGUGAGAAUAAAUCUCAUUGUGCCACAUGCCGCUGCUUGUGCUGCAUGCGCUGCGGCAUAUGGACGAAAAAAUUACCUUCAUAAAUUAUAAAAUUUUAAAAAUUUUAGAGGAUUAAAAUUGAGGAACACAUGAGAUAAAGAGAGGAGAAGGGCUGAGAAACUAAGUCAAGCCAUUUUGGAGCAGUGAAAGGUGAUUCGGAUUAAUAACUUGUCAGUUGUGGGUCCAGUAUCAAGGCAGACCACCUGGGCAUCAAAAGGAGAAAAAAAAGGAAGAGUUGAAGUUGUUGUGCCAUACGCCGCAACACGUAGAUCGUCCGCUGUGGCGCACAGCUAUCUCUGAGUGAGGGAAGACUUCUCUGUGCCAUACGUCGUGGUGCAUUAUGCGUCCGCCACGGCGCAUGACCAUUUUUUACACUUUAUCAGACUCAAAAUGAGACAAAAAAAGAAAGAAAAGAAAGGAGAGGCGUGCUAAUGCUCUGCAAGGGUUUGUUUAAGGAUCACUUUGAGAGUAUUUUGAAGGCUACAAACACCCAAGGAGCAAACUUAGUUUUAUGGAGGAGCAAUAAGCAAAAUGAAGUGUUUAGAUUGGGUGCAGAAGCAUAAUAUAGGGCUAUGGCACAAUCAAUUUGCAAGGUGGUAUGGAUUUAUCAACUAUUGAAGGAAGUCGGUCUCAAAACAUCAUUACCAGCAAAGUUAUGGUGUAACAAUAAAGUUGCUCUACACAUAGCCUAUAAUCCCGUGUUUCAUAAAUGUAUGAAACAUAUUGAGAUUAAUUGUCAUUUUGUUCAUGAUAAGAUUCAAGAGAAUUUCAUCUCUAUAGGGCAUCAUAGAAGUGGAGAUCUGUUUAUAACAGCUCUUGAUAGGGCUCGAAUUGAAUAUCUUUGUAACAAGUUGGGCAUGAUUAAUAUUUAUGCUCCAACUUGAGGAAGAGUGUUAGAAUAUAAGAUAGUGUAUAUGUUAGAGUUAUAGGUGAGUGUUUAAACCUAAAAGAGCGCAUAAGGAGCAAUUUAUAUUCCAUAGCAAUUGUUCUAGACUAAAAAAAUGUAUUCAUUCAAACCCAUCAGAUAUCAUUGCAAUAAUUAAUCAUCUACACAGCAAGUCAAAAUUUAAAGGAAAUAUUGUUCAACCAUUUCAAUCGGGAGCAAUACAUAUAGAUGAUCAAUUAGCAUAAAUUAUGAUUCUUAUGAUGUCCAAGGAACAAGUAAAAAAGCUCAUUCAAAACUAAGAAGAAACAAUCUAAAAGAAGCCACAAAGAGGUUCAAACAUGAUUAGUAAGUGAAGUGGUUGCCAAACAUUGCAAGAAAAGUGAGCAUCCCUUCUAAAACAAGAACCACAAUAUGACAUGUGAUUUACAUCUAAUAAGAGAGAAGAGAUGAGAGAGAAGAGAACAAUGAGUGCCAUAAAAAGGAUUCUUAAGAUUUUAAUAAUUUAAAUGAGCUCCAUAACAAGGAUUGUUAAGAUUUUAAUAAUUUCAAAGAAAGAGUUUCUUGACAUAAAUCCCUAUUCUUAAAACACGAGUUUUUCCCCAAAUCUCUACUCUUAAAAAGAUACUCGUUGUGAUCCUUAUUGAAAGAUACUUUUAAUCGUUUCAUGCAUUUUAAGAAAAAUUAUUUUUUCCUAGUAUCAUAAAACAAUGAAAUGUAUUUUUAUUUUUACCUUUGACUUUAAAUUAUAAUACAAUUAGAUUAGAUAUCUUCUCGCUAAUCAAUAAAGGGUAAAAUUAAAAAAAAUGAUUUAAUUAUUACAAAGUGCCUACAUUUUGGACCAAAAUUUACUUUUAGAAAAUAUCCUAUAAAUAGGACUGGAGGAAGUAUUAUCUAUUGUUUAUUAUGUUUCACCUCUCCAUAGUAGCAUUAUGUGUACAUGGCUAGAUAUAAGAGAGAUAGAGGAGGCAAAUAAAAUCAAAGAUAAUGAUUCAAUGAGUUUGAUAGAGUUUCUUCACCUAGAACUCCUUGCUCUCUCGGAUCUUCAAACUUCUAUGCUAUUUUCUACUAUUCAUUUUGUUUCACACUCUCUUGUUGCAUUACCAUCCUUGUAAGGGCCAAGGAUGCUGAGAUUGAACAUCGGUAACAAAGCAUGUUCUUUUAUAUAUAUAUAGAAGAGACCCAUCAAAAGGAAGUUCCUUGCACUUAAAUCUCUCUAUAUUUGCUAUGGAUAGGAUAGGGUUCCGGAUGUGAGAACAAAAGGUGAACUCAAUACCUUCGUUUCACACCUAAAAUCAUUAGUUCUGAUCAAAACUCAAGCUCCAAAAUACAUUAUGUCACCCAGGAUUAUCAAAAGCUAUAUAAUAAGCAAGCUUUACAAAUAGAUACGAACAUUGCCAAUUUCAAAUUAUGCACAACAUUGUCCGUCCAGUUCUCUAAAAGCACAAACCACCGAGGUAUUCAUACAUGGGCUAAAAUAUUUAUGCACAAGCACAGCUUGGGAAGAAUCAAGGGAAAAAAGAAACUCACAUCGCUGAGGAGCGAACCCAUCCUUGGUGGCAAUAGGGGAGUCAAAAGCGGAACUAGAAAGGCCGGUGUUACUGUUGCAUUGGUUUCCUAACUAAAUCAUCAAGCCUUUGGUUGUUUAAGGGAAAAACUUUACUUAUGUAUGGUGCAUAUCACAUGAUCCCUAGAAGGAAGACAAGCCAUAUGAUUGCAAUGUAUUUAGUCAUAUUCAUGUAAGUAGAAACAGGGAUAACAAUAUCUUUCUUUAACAGUGAAACCUAGGCAAGGGAAAAGUAAAGUACCAUUUCUUCUUGAAGGA